rnacentral:lncRNA from 1 species
AGAACAUUCCAUGCAUAUCUACAAUAUAUUUCAAGUUUUCCAUAUUCUUGGUAAAAUUAAAAUUUGCAGAUACCCUCAGUGGAGAGCUACACUAGCUGCAAAAGCUCGGAAGGAUGCCUGUGUAGAGCUGGAACACAGCAACCUUUACUUGAGUAUAUAAUAUACUAUCCCACUUUUAUCUACAAACUAUUAAUGAGUCCUGAGUUGCCAUAAAGAAGAAUGAGGUAGUUUCGGACAAACUCCAUCCUGAAGGUCAUUUCUGAAAUAACUGUGAGUUUACUGAUUGAAGAACUGUCCCAACUGAGCACAAGCCAAGUGACACAAUGAUUUGAAAGAAGCUGCACUCCAUGACUACGCCUAAGACCAUACUUGUG